rnacentral:rRNA from 1 species
UACGAAGGGGGCUAGCGUUGCUCGGAAUCACUGGGCGUAAAGGGCGCGUAGGCGGCCAUUCAAGUCGGGGGUGAAAGCCUGUGGCUCAACCACAGAAUUGCCUUCGAUACUGUUUGGCUUGAGUAUGGUAGAGGUUGGUGGAACUGCGAGUGUAGAGGUGAAAUUCGAUAGAUAUUCGCAAGAACACCAGUGGCGAAGGCGGCUCACUGGCCCGGUACUGACGCUGAGGUGCGAAAGCGUGGGGAGCAAACAGG